ensembl:misc_RNA Metazoa_SRP Metazoan signal recognition particle RNA
GCCGGGCGCAGUGGCUUACGCCUGUAAUCCCAGCACUUUGGGAGGCCGAGGCGGGUGGAUCACCUGAGGUCGGGAGUUCAAGACCAGCCUGACCAACAUGGAGAAACCCCGUCUCUA